UGUUGUUGAGGCUGCCAGUGC
rnacentral:misc_RNA from 1 species